GUUAAUGGCUGCAUAAAUCUGAGUGUACUAAGGUAGCGCUAUAAUUUGCCCUUUAAAUGGGGGCUGGUAUGAAUGGGUUUACGUGAAAGUUGCUGUGUCACAAAAACUAAUUGAAGUUAACUUUUAGGUGAAGAGGCCUAGUUUAAUUUAAAGGACGACAAGACCCUAGAAGCUUUACUAAGAGUAAAUUAUUUUAUAUUUUACUUUAGUUUUGUUGGGGCAACAUAGUUAGAAAAUAUAACUUGAAUUAUACUACUUACCAGUUUAAACCACUUCUGUGGAUAAGAUAAGUUACUCUAGGGAUAACAGCGUUAUUUUUUUUAAUAGUACGUAUUGUAAAAAAAGUUUGCGACCUCGAUGUUGGACUAAGGUGUCCUUAAGGUGUAGAAGCCUUAAAGGGUUGGCCUGUUCGUCCAUUAAAACCUUACA
rnacentral:rRNA from 1 species